rnacentral:rRNA from 1 species
UACGUAGGGUGCAAGCGUUAAUCGGAAUUACUGGGCGUAAAGCGUGCGCAGGCGGUGAUGUAAGUCAGAUGUGAAAGCCCCGGGCUUAACCUGGGAACUGCGUUUGAAACUGGGAGACUUGAGUGUGGCAGAGGGGGGUGGAAUUCCACGUGUAGCAGUGAAAUGCGUAGAUAUGUGGAGGAACACCGAUGGCGAAGGCAGCCCCCUGGGUUAACACUGACGCUCAUGCACGAAAGCGUGGGGAGCAAACAGG